GAUGAAGAACGCAGCGAAAUGCGAUAAGUAAUGUGAAUUGCAGAAUUCAGUGAAUCAUCGAAUCUUUGAACGCACAUUGCGCCCGCCAGUAUUCUGGCGGGCAUGCCUGUUCGAGCGUCAUUACAACCCUCAGGCCCCCGGGCCUGGCGUUGGGGAUCGGCGGAAGCCCCCUGUGGGCACACGCCGUCCCUCAAAUACAGUGGCGGUCCCGCCGCAGCUUCCAUUGCGUAGUAGCUAACACCUCGCAACUGGAGAGCGGCGCGGCCAUGCCGUAAAACACCCAACUUCUGAAUGUUGACCUCGAAUCAGGUAGGAAUACCCGCUGAACUUAAGCAUAUCAGUAAGCGGAGGA
rnacentral:misc_RNA from 1 species